rnacentral:rRNA from 1 species
UACGUAGGGUGCGAGCGUUGUCCGGAAUUAUUGGGUGUAAAGAGCUCGUAGGCGGUCUGUCGCGUCGGCUGUGAAAACCCGGAGCUCAACUCCGGGCCUGCAGUCGAUACGGGCAGACUGGAGUUCGGCAGGGGAGACUGGAAUUCCUGGUGUAGCGGUGAAAUGCGCAGAUAUCAGGAGGAACACCGGUGGCGAAGGCGGGUCUCUGGGCCGAUACUGACGCUGAGGAGCGAAAGCGUGGGGAGCGAACAGG